rnacentral:rRNA from 1 species
UACGAAGGGGGCUAGCGUUGCUCGGAAUUACUGGGCGUAAAGCGCACGUAGGCGGCUUCUUAAGUCGGUGGUGAAAUCCUGGAGCUCAACUCCAGAACUGCCUUCGAUACUGGGGAGCUCGAGUCCGGGAGAGGUGAGUGGAACUGCGAGUGUAGAGGUGAAAUUCGUAGAUAUUCGCAAGAACACCAGUGGCGAAGGCGGCUCACUGGCCCGGUACUGACGCUGAGGUGCGAAAGCGUGGGGAGCGAACAGG